GCUUAGUACGGCGAGUGAGCGGCAAAGCUCAAAUUUGAAAUCUGGCACCUUCGGUGUCCGAGUUGUAAUUUGAAGAAGGUAACUUUGGAGUUGGCUCUUGUCUAUGUUCCUUGGAACAGGACGUCACAGAGGGUGAGAAUCCCGUGCGAUGAGAUGCCCAAUUCUAUGUAAAGUGCUUUCGAAGAGUCGAGUUGUUUGGGAAUGCAGCUCUAAGUGGGUGGUAAAUUCCAUCUAAAGCUAAAUAUUGGCGAGAGACCGAUAGCGAACAAGUACAGUGAUGGAAAGAUGAAAAGAACUUUGAAAAGAGAGUGAAAAAGUACGUGAAAUUGUUGAAAGGGAAGGGCUUGAGAUCAGACUUGGUAUUUUGCGAUCCUUUCCUUCUUGGUUGGGUUCCUCGCAGCUUACUGGGCCAGCAUCGGUUUGGAUGGUAGGAUAAUGACUAAGGAAUGUGGCUCUACUUCGGUGGAGUGUUAUAGCCUUGGUUGAUACUGCCUGUCUAGACCGAGGACUGCGUCUUUUGACUAGGAUGUUGGCAUAAUGAUCUUAAGCCACCCGUCUU
rnacentral:rRNA from 1 species